ACAGACGGUCUUUACAAGCGACUCGUGGGCGUCAAUACUGGGCUGAGUUUGUGGCGCGCUUAGUGAUGGGAUGGCCCUGUGCAGGACGCCGACACGAAAAGAUGAAGAGUUCAAUCCGUGCUGUCUGAACUCACAGUGUAGCAGGCGAGAUAGACGGGAAGAUCGGUAGGGUGGGAGAUGCCGGAAAGGCUUCCCGUGAGACUGGAUAAGAAAUCAAAAAUCUGGUGAAAUUGCCGGCAAGAGGGAGUUAAGGACAUUCCAGGCAGAGGCAAGUCCAGAUUCCUAAGAUGAGGACACAGCAUCCUGGGCCACUGUCACUAAUACAAAUUUGCCUCUGGAGGGACUCUACGGAAGAUAAUUCCCCUGAAAUUUGGAGAGUUGAAUUAAGCUAGGACUGAUUCUGGCUGGAAUUUGUGGUGGCUACGUACCCUAGAGGGCCUCAAGGAAACCCACGGUUCAAGACAGCCCUGACAGAUUCUGGAGUCUAGAACAGAAAUGGAUUUGAACAUGGGCAAGGCCAACCACCCAGUUCACGGCCUGUGUACAGCAAAGAUUACGUUACAGCCUGAGAGCUAAGCCUGGAAGCUCUUUCAUCCAUCCGUUUGUCCAUCUAUCCAUCCAUCUGCUCAUCCAUCCCUCCAUCUGCUCAACAAACGUUAGAGAAUCAAUCCUUGUGUCAGAUACUGGGGCUGCCCUCAAGGAGCUUUUAUAGAGUUCAGGGUACAGCCAGGUGGGGGAGACAGAUCACUAUAAAAACCUACCACUAUAAUCCAAAGGACAAGAGCAAAAAUAGUAAAGAGGAGAGAAGACCCAAAUUUGCCUGGUGGGUCAGAGAGGGCUUUCUAGAAGAGGUAAAAAAUCUUCGGGGCUAUCACUUCACCUUGCCUGGUGGAUAAAGGGAGGACUUUCCAGAUACAGUGGACAGAAUGUGCAGAGGCAGGAGCCAUGAGUGGCAGAGGCAGGGGAGGGACUGCAGAGACAGGUUGGAGCCAAAGCACGUGGCACUGGAGCCAUAGCCAAAGGAACAAACUGUGAGACCUGGGACUUGAAUUUGGAGGUGGUGAAAAGUGACAAGGUCUUCACAGAAGAGUGAUUUUUUCAACUUAGGGAAGGCUGACCCCAGACCAAUGCUGCCAAAGUGUGGUCUGUGGGCUGUUAGCAGUUCGUGACGAUGUAAGUACAGGAAUUGAGAUUAAGCAUUUAGAACACCUACAGCACUUUGAUAGUCAUUUUACUUUUUAAAUUUUGAGCUGGCAUUUUAUAUGCCUGGUUUUUUUUUGUUUUUGUUUUUUUAUUUUUUUUGAGACAGUCUCGCUCUGUCGCCCAGGCUGGAGUGCAGUGGCGCGAUCUCUGCUCACUGCAAGCUCCGCCUCCCGGGUUCACGCCAUUCUCCUGCCUCAUCCUCCCAAGUAGCUGGGACUGCAGGCGCCUGCCGCCUCGCCCAGCUAAUUUUUUGUAUUUUUAAUAGAGACGGGGUUUCACCAUGUUAGCCAGGAUGGUCUCAAUCUCCUGAUCUCGUGAUCUGCCCGCCUUGGCCUCCCAAAAUGCUGGGAUUACAGGUGUGAGCCACCACGCCCAGCCUUAUUCUCUUUUUCUAAUAGUUGCACUUUAUCAUAUUUUACAAAUGUGUGAGUCUGCUAUGGAUUAGAAAUUAAUAAGAGAUUUUGCCACAGAUAGUUUGAGAAGCCCAGCACUGCCACUCAACAAAUGCUGGUGCAUUCAGAUGGUGAAAUAUUCUGCAGCUAUUAAAGGAGUUAAAACUGCCUCCACUUACCUGGAGGCCCAUCUGUGACACCUUUUUAGGUUAAAAGGAAAAGAAAAACUUGCUUAGGACUGAAUAUGAGCGGUUGCAAUUUGUAACAAUGAUGUAUAUAUACAUAUACAUUUUCAUGUAUUUGUAUGAACAUAAAAGUAUUGAAGGAUAUUCAUCAAACUGCUAAAAGGGUUGCUUCAGAGUAACGGACUCGGAGAAGGCAGAUUAAUUUUCUCUUAAUGGAACUCUGUAUUGUAUCACUUGUAAAAAUAAGCAUGUGUUAUCUUUAUGAUAAAAAAGUAAAAACCUAAAAAAGAAAA
ensembl:lncRNA CKMT2-AS1 CKMT2 antisense RNA 1